rnacentral:lncRNA from 1 species
UGUCUUUGCUUCUUUGAGGUCACCUUUUUUUCCCUCCCAUUUUAAUUCUGUCAUAUGGAGAUGCUAUGUAAUGAGUUGAAAACAUAUGUUAGGUUUACGCAGUCUUGUUAUUUUUUGUAUCUUUUUGACUAAUAGAUUCCGAAAUAUAUAAUAGUGAGAGAUUUGUAUCUGUUUAAAAUAGCAUGCUGUGUAGUUCUUAUUGUAGUGUAAUUGUGACAGAAAUUAAGUAUAGUUUAAUAGUUUAUUUUAAAUAAAUAGUUUAUUUUAUGUUAUUUACUCUUUUAGCCCUGAGAGUUGUAUUUAAAGGUCUUGUGCUUCGUUUGAAAGAAAUCAAUCAAUAUUCAACAAAUUAUCUUCUUCUCUAAACACAACUCUCAAUUUAUCUUUGCAUAAUCUCAUUUGUACCGAAUUCUAUUCAAUUCAUUAGAAUUCCUACUUUGAGUUGAUUCUAUCGGUGUCGUCCCUAGAAUCUAUAUUAUCCGUUACAAUUGGAUAAUUUGAGAGUUGAUUCUAAUGAAUUGAAUAGAAUUCGGUACAAAUGAGAUUAUGCAAAGAUAAAUUGAGAGUUGUGUUUAGAGAAGAAGAUAAUUUGUUGAAUAUUGAUUGAUUUCUUUCAAACGAGGCACAAGACCUUUAAAUACAACUCUCAGGGCUAAAAGAGUAAAUAACAUAAAAUAAACUAUUUAUUUAAAAUAAACUAUUAAACUAUACUUAAUUUCUGUCACAGUAAUUCAUUUUAAUACUACUAAAUUAGUUGAGUUUCUAACUUUUUUAAUCCUUCUUUUUUU